GACGAACGCUGGCGGCGUGCUUAACACAUGCAAGUCGAACGAAGUGGCGAACGGGUGAGUAACGCGUAAUCAACCUGCCCCUCAGAGGGGGACAACAUUUGGAAACGACUGCUAAUACCGCAUACUGAAGGAGGGGAUUGCGUCUGAUGAGCUAGUUGGAGGGGCAACGGCCCACCAAGGCGAUGAUCACUAGCCGGGUCGAGAGGAGGAACGGCAAAAUCUGGACUUGAGCAAGGCCCAGAAUCCGACGGGGUGCAGCCGGGGGGGAUCUUCCGCAAUGGACGGAAGGCUGACUGCGGAAAGCCGCGUGGGUGAAAGCGGCCUUCGGGGUGUAAAGCUCUUUUAAUCGGGGCGCGGUACCGGAAUAGAAAGCCACGGCUAACUACGUGCCAGCAGCCGCGGUAAUAC
rnacentral:rRNA from 1 species